GCGCACCCCUUGCUGCGCAUGCCCCUUGUUGCGCAUACGCGUUCCUGAGCAUUCUGUGAGGACCGUUGGGCCUGAGACGGGUCUGUUUAUUCAGUCCCGGUUCUUUCUCACUACUUGAGACUCACCAGGGAAAAAUAUGAGUGGGCAGGUGGCAUCAACAUUGGGACCUACAGAUCAAGAUUCCUCCCAGCUGGAUGAACCUGUGGUUGACCAGCACCCCAAUGUUGAGCAACCUCAACAAGAGGAACCACCAGCUGAGAUUCAGGAUAUCACACCUAGAAAGGAGGAAGUACAUGGAGAGGAUCCAGUGAAUCGUGAUGAAGAGGAGGAGAAGGAUGCCUCUGAAGAUUCUGGCCUGGAAGCUGAUUUCCAGGAAUUGUCUGUGGCAAAGACUGGGGGUGAAGGUGGAGAUGGUCCCGAUGUCAGGGAGGAGUUUGCAUCAAAUAUAGAGCCUGUUGAAAUGCCAGAAGCAGGUGAAGGGCAACCAUUUGCUUGAAAGAAGAUAAACUGAAACCAUCUAUGAUGUUCUUCUGUUGUGUAUUUGACUGAAAGUUCUGUCAAUAAAGUUUCGUCUUCUACUGGCACAUGUUUUGUUAAAUUUAUCCCCAGGUAUUUAAUGUUACUGAAAAUUCAUGGUUUGUGACUUUUAUUGUCUAGUUGAG
ensembl:lncRNA